rnacentral:rRNA from 1 species
CCUACGGGGUGCAGCAGUAGGGAAUUUUCGGCAAUGGGGGGAACCCUGACCGAGCAACGCCGCGUGAACGAAGAAGUUAUUCGUAAUGUAAAGUUCUUUUAACAGGGAAGAAAGAGAAAUUUGACGGUACCUGAAGAAUAAGCUCUGGCUAACUACGUGCCAGCAGCCGCGGUAAUACGUAGGGAGCGGGCGUUAUCCGGAAUUAUUGGGCGUAAAGGGUGUGUUGAUGGCAUAGAAAGUCUUUUGUAAAAAUGCUGGGCUAAACCCAGUAGGGCAAAAGAUACUGCAAAGCUAGAGUAUGACAGAGGCAAGUGGAACUACAGGUGUAGCGGUAAAAUGCGUAGAUAUAUGUAAGAACACCAGUGGCGAAGGCGGCUUGCUGGGUCGAUACUGACAUUGAGGCACGAAAGCGUGGGGAGCAAACAGGAUUAGAUACCCGAGUAGUC